UUAAGCGACUAAGCGUACACGGUGGAUGCCCUGGCAGUCAGAGGCGAUGAAGGACGUGCUAAUCUGCGAAAAGCGUCGGUAAGGUGAUAUGAACCGUUAUAGCCGGCGAUGUCCGAAUGGGGAAACCCAGUGUGAUUCGUCACACUAUCGUUAACUGAAUACAUAGGUUAACGAGGCGAACCGGGGGAACUGAAACAUCUAAGUACCCCGAGGAAAAGAAAUCAACCGAGAUUCCCCCAGUAGCGGCGAGCGAACGGGGAGCAGCCCAGAGUCUGAAUCAGCUUGUGUGUUAGUGGAACGGUCUGGAAAGUCCGACGGUACAGGGUGAUAGUCCCGUACACCAAAAUGCACAGGUUGUGAACUCGAAGAGUAGGGCGGGACACGUGGUAUCCUGUCUGAAUAUGGGGGGACCAUCCUCCAAGGCUAAAUACUCCUGACUGACCGAUAGUGAACCAGUACCGUGAGGGAAAGGCGAAAAGAACCCCGGCGAGGGGAGUGAAAAAGAACCUGAAACCGUGUACGUACAAGCAGUGGGAGCACCUUCGGGUGUGACUGCGUACCUUUUGUAUAAUGGGUCAGCGACUUAUAUUCUGUAGCAAGGUUAACCGUAUAGGGGAGCCGCAGGGAAACCGAGUCUUAACUGGGCGUUAAGUUGCAGGGUAUAGACCCGAAACCCGGUGAUCUAGCCAUGGGCAGGUUGAAGGUUGGGUAACACUAACUGGAGGACCGAACCGACUAAUGUUGAAAAAUUAGCGGAUGACUUGUGGCUGGGGGUGAAAGGCCAAUCAAACCGGGAGAUAGCUGGUUCUCCCCGAAAGCUAUUUAGGUAGCGCCUCGUGAACUCAUCUUCGGGGGUAGAGCACUGUUUCGGCUAGGGGGUCAUCCCGACUUACCAACCCGAUGCAAACUACGAAUACCGAAGAAUGUUAUCACGGGAGACACACGGCGGGUGCUAACGUCCGUCGUGAAGAGGGAAACAACCCAGACCGCCAGCUAAGGUCCCAAAGUCAUGGUUAAGUGGGAAACGAUGUGGGAAGGCACAGACAGCCAGGAUGUUGGCUUAGAAGCAGCCAUCAUUUAAAGAAAGCGUAAUAGCUCACUGGUCGAGUCGGCCUGCGCGGAAGAUGUAACGGGGCUAAACCAUGCACCGAAGCUGCGGCAGCGACACGAUGUGUUGUUGGGUAGGGGAGCGUUCUGUAAGCCUGCGAAGGUGUGCUGUGAGGCAUGCUGGAGGUAUCAGAAGUGCGAAUGCUGACAUAAGUAACGAUAAAGCGGGUGAAAAGCCCGCUCGCCGGAAGACCAAGGGUUCCUGUCCAACGUUAAUCGGGGCAGGGUGAGUCGACCCCUAAGGCGAGGCCGAAAGGCGUAGUCGAUGGGAAACAGGUUAAUAUUCCUGUACUUGGUGUUACUGCGAAGGGGGGACGGAGAAGGCUAUGUUAGCCGGGCGACGGUUGUCCCGGUUUAAGCAUGUAGGCUGAUUGUCCAGGCAAAUCCGGAUAAUCAAGGCUGAGGUGUGAUGACGAGGCACUACGGUGCUGAAGUAACAAAUGCCCUGCUUCCAGGAAAAGCCUCUAAGCAUCAGGUAACAUCAAAUCGUACCCCAAACCGACACAGGUGGUCAGGUAGAGAAUACCAAGGCGCUUGAGAGAACUCGGGUGAAGGAACUAGGCAAAAUGGUGCCGUAACUUCGGGAGAAGGCACGCUGGUGUGUAGGUGAAGUCCCUGCGGAUGGAGCUGAGACCAGUCGAAGAUACCAGCUGGCUGCAACUGUUUAUUAAAAACACAGCACUGUGCAAACACGAAAGUGGACGUAUACGGUGUGACGCCUGCCCGGUGCCGGAAGGUUAAUUGAUGGGGUUAUCCGUAAGGAGAAGCUCUUGAUCGAAGCCCCGGUAAACGGCGGCCGUAACUAUAACGGUCCUAAGGUAGCGAAAUUCCUUGUCGGGUAAGUUCCGACCUGCACGAAUGGCGUAAUGAUGGCCAGGCUGUCUCCACCCGAGACUCAGUGAAAUUGAACUCGCUGUGAAGAUGCAGUGUACCCGCGGCAAGACGGAAAGACCCCGUGAACCUUUACUAUAGCUUGACACUGAACAUUGAGCCUUGAUGUGUAGGAUAGGUGGGAGGCUUUGAAGCGUGGACGCCAGUCUGCGUGGAGCCAACCUUGAAAUACCACCCUUUAAUGUUUGAUGUUCUAACGUUGGCCCCUGACCGGGGUUGCGGACAGUGUCUGGUGGGUAGUUUGACUGGGGCGGUCUCCUCCCAAAGCGUAACGGAGGAGCACGAAGGUUAGCUAAUCCUGGUCGGACAUCAGGAGGUUAGUGCAAUGGCAUAAGCUAGCUUGACUGCGAGCGUGACGGCGCGAGCAGGUGCGAAAGCAGGUCAUAGUGAUCCGGUGGUUCUGAAUGGAAGGGCCAUCGCUCAACGGAUAAAAGGUACUCCGGGGAUAACAGGCUGAUACCGCCCAAGAGUUCAUAUCGACGGCGGUGUUUGGCACCUCGAUGUCGGCUCAUCACAUCCUGGGGCUGAAGUAGGUCCCAAGGGUAUGGCUGUUCGCCAUUUAAAGUGGUACGCGAGCUGGGUUUAGAACGUCGUGAGACAGUUCGGUCCCUAUCUGCCGUGGGCGCUGGAGAAUUGAGGGGGGCUGCUCCUAGUACGAGAGGACCGGAGUGGACGCAUCACUGGUGUUCGGGUUGUCAUGCCAAUGGCACUGCCCGGUAGCUAAAUGCGGAAGAGAUAAGUGCUGAAAGCAUCUAAGCACGAAACUUGCCCCGAGAUGAGUUCUCCCUGAGACUUUAAGUCUCCUGAAGGAACGUUGAAGACGACGACGUUGAUAGGCCGGGUGUGUAAGCGCAGCGAUGCGUUGAGCUAACCGGUACUAAUGAACCGUGAGGCUUAACCU
rnacentral:rRNA from 1 species